UGACACCAGGCAGGGGAGAGACUGCAAUCAAAAAGGCAACUCUCCCAGGUGAGGCUAUUCCAUUGCACUUUGGAUGUGCUGCCAUCUGCGAUGACUCUAGUUGUGGGAUACUCAACUGCAAAACUUGUGGUAAUGGGGGACUGCUUUUGUGCUCACUUUAG